GUAAGGGAUGGGAGGAAGCCAGCUUGGGGGAUUAAGGGAUGGGAGGGAGCCAGCUUGGGGAGUAAUGGAUGGGAGGUGGCCAGCAUUGGGGAGUAAGCAAUGGGAGGUAGUCAG